rnacentral:rRNA from 1 species
CUACGGGAGGCUCCAGUGGGGAAUUUUCCGCAAUGGGCGAAAGCCUGACGGAGCAAUGCCGCGUGAAUGAAGAAGGUCUUCGGAUCGUAAAGUUCUGUCAUUAGGGAAGAAAGGUACGUGUGUGAAUAAUGCACGUAUUUGACGGUACCUAAGGAGGAAGCCACGGCUAACUACGUGCCAGCAGCCGCGGUAAUACGUAGGUGGCGAGCGUUGUCCGGAAUUACUGGGCGUAAAGGGCGUGUAGGCGGAAAUUUAAGUCAGAUGUGAAAGCCCCGGGCUUAACCUGGGGACUGCAUUUGAUACUGGAGUUCUUGAGGACAGGAGAGGAAAGCGGAAUUCCUAGUGUAGCGGUGAAAUGCGUAGAUAUUAGGAGGAACACCAGUGGCGAAGGCGGCUUUCUGGACUGUAACUGACGCUGAGGCGCGAAAGCGUGGGGAGCAAACGGGAUUAGAUACCCUGGUAGUC